rnacentral:rRNA from 1 species
UACGAAGGGGGCUAGCGUUGUUCGGAAUUACUGGGCGUAAAGCGCACGUAGGCGGAUAUUUAAGUCAGGGGUGAAAUCCCAGAGCUCAACUCUGGAACUGCCUUUGAUACUGGGUAUCUCGAGUAUGGAAGAGGUGAGUGGAAUUCCGAGUGUAGAGGUGAAAUUCGUAGAUAUUCGGAGGAACACCAGUGGCGAAGGCGGCUCACUGGCCCGUUACCGACGCUCAGGCGCGACAGCGUGGGGAGCAAACAGG